UUCAUACCAAGCGAAAAAAUAAUAAGGAAUCAACUCAAGGAAAAAUUUUGGAACAGAUUACUUUGAUGAUCAAGAUUAAGAGUAAAGAAAAUUUAUUUCUAAACUUGUGGUUCAAAUCACUCCACAAGUUAGU